rnacentral:rRNA from 1 species
UNGNACUACNNUGCGNGAGCGGAACGAAAACAACAACACCUAAAAUGUGGAAUAUAGCAUAUAGUCGACAAGAGAAAUCUACGAAAAACAAACAAAACUUUCAACAACGGAUCUCUUGGUUCUCGCAUCGAUGAAGAGCGCAGCGAAAUGCGAUACCUAGUGUGAAUUGCAGCCAUCGUGAAUCAUCGAGUUCUUGAACGCACAUUGCGCCCCUCGGCAUUCCGGGGGGCAUGCCUGUUUGAGCGUCGUUUCCAUCUUGCGCGUGCGCAGAGUUGGGGGAGCGGAGCGGACGACGUGUAAAGAGCGUCGGAGCUGCGACUCGCCUGAAAGGGAGCGAAGCUGGCCGAGCGAACUAAACUUUUUUUCAGGGACGCUUGGCGGCCGAGAGCGAGUGUUGCGAGACAACAAAAAGCUCGACCUCAAAUCAGGUAGGAAUACCCGCUGAACUUAAGCAUAUCAAUAAGCGGAGGAAAUCUGUAAGCGGAGGAAAGUGAAUGUUGUCGUUAGGUCUACGCGCGGCGAAUGGUGUAUCGAGUUAACACACGAUGUCUCUAACUGCGUCCAGGAGUCCUACGAACGAUGUAACAAUAACUGAAACCAUUUUCGACGUUUGCCUUAGUUGCAAGCUCGGAACAUGACCCUCAGAUCAGGUGGGGGCAAACCCGCUGAGUUUAAGCAUAUCAAUAAAGCGGAAGGAUA